rnacentral:sRNA from 1 species
UGUCGCUUGUGUCAGGUUGACAUAAAAUGAGCCAGCACAGCCUACCAGUUUCUCCUGGCCACAUGCUCACAGCCCAUCUCUUUUCAUAGCACACCCUCCUCUACUGCUUACCACAUCCUCUCUACCUGUGGCCCCUAGCCAGGGGGGAGCUGCUUUGUUCAGUCAGUCCAGAGGAAACAGCUCUGUGUGCCUGACACACCAUGCAGCAGGAAGCAUCUGAAGUAUGACGGAGAGGAGUGGAGAGGUGUCUUCCUUCUUAGCGAAGUCUGGAUUUCCAAGGUGUGGAACUAAAGAAUUUAAGCAUCUCACCACCAGCUUUCAACACUGUGCUUUUGUUCUAGGACAGUGUUCUGUGUGCAUUUGGGCUAAAUGAACUCCAUCUUGAAAAUGAACUUCAUUAUGCAAUUGGUUGACAACCUUCAUGGGCAGACCCGCCUUUCCACACACGGUGCCAUCCCAGGGCAGAGCCAGCUCAUCUACACUCACGGCUGGUGUGCCUAUACAUUUUUAAAUAAA